GGUUAAGCGACUAAGCGUACACGGUGGAUGCCCUGGCAGUCAGAGGCGAUGAAGGACGUGCUAAUCUGCGAUAAGCGUCGGUAAGGUGAUAUGAACCGUUAUAACCGGCGAUUUCCGAAUGGGGAAACCCAGUGUGUUUCGACACACUAUCAUUAACUGAAUCCAUAGGUUAAUGAGGCGAACCGGGGGAACUGAAACAUCUAAGUACCCCGAGGAAAAGAAAUCAACCGAGAUUCCCCCAGUAGCGGCGAGCGAACGGGGAGCAGCCCAGAGCCUGAAUCAGUGUGUGUGUUAGUGGAAGCGUCUGGAAAGGCGCGCGAUACAGGGUGACAGCCCCGUACACAAAAAUGCACAUGCUGUGAGCUCGAUGAGUAGGGCGGGACACGUGGUAUCCUGUCUGAAUAUGGGGGGACCAUCCUCCAAGGCUAAAUACUCCUGACUGACCGAUAGUGAACCAGUACCGUGAGGGAAAGGCGAAAAGAACCCCGGCGAGGGGAGUGAAAAAGAACCUGAAACCGUGUACGUACAAGCAGUGGGAGCACGCUUAGGCGUGUGACUGCGUACCUUUUGUAUAAUGGGUCAGCGACUUAUAUUCUGUAGCAAGGUUAACCGAAUAGGGGAGCCGAAGGGAAACCGAGUCUUAACUGGGCGUUAAGUUGCAGGGUAUAGACCCGAAACCCGGUGAUCUAGCCAUGGGCAGGUUGAAGGUUGGGUAACACUAACUGGAGGACCGAACCGACUAAUGUUGAAAAAUUAGCGGAUGACUUGUGGCUGGGGGUGAAAGGCCAAUCAAACCGGGAGAUAGCUGGUUCUCCCCGAAAGCUAUUUAGGUAGCGCCUCGUGAAUUCAUCUCCGGGGGUAGAGCACUGUUUCGGCAAGGGGGUCAUCCCGACUUACCAACCCGAUGCAAACUGCGAAUACCGGAGAAUGUUAUCACGGGAGACACACGGCGGGUGCUAACGUCCGUCGUGAAGAGGGAAACAACCCAGACCGCCAGCUAAGGUCCCAAAGUCAUGGUUAAGUGGGAAACGAUGUGGGAAGGCCCAGACAGCCAGGAUGUUGGCUUAGAAGCAGCCAUCAUUUAAAGAAAGCGUAAUAGCUCACUGGUCGAGUCGGCCUGCGCGGAAGAUGUAACGGGGCUAAACCAUGCACCGAAGCUGCGGCAGCGACGCUUAUGCGUUGUUGGGUAGGGGAGCGUUCUGUAAGCCUGUGAAGGUGUGCUGUGAGGCAUGCUGGAGGUAUCAGAAGUGCGAAUGCUGACAUAAGUAACGAUAAAGCGGGUGAAAAGCCCGCUCGCCGGAAGACCAAGGGUUCCUGUCCAACGUUAAUCGGGGCAGGGUGAGUCGACCCCUAAGGCGAGGCCGAAAGGCGUAGUCGAUGGGAAACAGGUUAAUAUUCCUGUACUUGGUGUUACUGCGAAGGGGGGACGGAGAAGGCUAUGUUGGCCGGGCGACGGUUGUCCCGGUUUAAGCGUGUAGGCUGGUUUUCCAGGCAAAUCCGGAAAAUCAAGGCUGAGGCGUGAUGACGAGGCACUACGGUGCUGAAGCAACAAAUGCCCUGCUUCCAGGAAAAGCCUCUAAGCAUCAGGUAACAUCAAAUCGUACCCCAAACCGACACAGGUGGUCAGGUAGAGAAUACCAAGGCGCUUGAGAGAACUCGGGUGAAGGAACUAGGCAAAAUGGUGCCGUAACUUCGGGAGAAGGCACGCUGAUAUGUAGGUGAGGUCCCUUGCGGAUGGAGCUGAAAUCAGUCGAAGAUACCAGCUGGCUGCAACUGUUUAUUAAAAACACAGCACUGUGCAAACACGAAAGUGGACGUAUACGGUGUGACGCCUGCCCGGUGCCGGAAGGUUAAUUGAUGGGGUCAGCGCAAGCGAAGCUCUUGAUCGAAGCCCCGGUAAACGGCGGCCGUAACUAUAACGGUCCUAAGGUAGCGAAAUUCCUUGUCGGGUAAGUUCCGACCUGCACGAAUGGCGUAAUGAUGGCCAGGCUGUCUCCACCCGAGACUCAGUGAAAUUGAACUCGCUGUGAAGAUGCAGUGUACCCGCGGCAAGACGGAAAGACCCCGUGAACCUUUACUAUAGCUUGACACUGAACAUUGAGCCUUGAUGUGUAGGAUAGGUGGGAGGCUUUGAAGUGUGGACGCCAGUCUGCAUGGAGCCGACCUUGAAAUACCACCCUUUAAUGUUUGAUGUUCUAACGUUGACCCGUAAUCCGGGUUGCGGACAGUGUCUGGUGGGUAGUUUGACUGGGGCGGUCUCCUCCUAAAGAGUAACGGAGGAGCACGAAGGUUGGCUAAUCCUGGUCGGACAUCAGGAGGUUAGUGCAAUGGCAUAAGCCAGCUUGACUGCGAGCGUGACGGCGCGAGCAGGUGCGAAAGCAGGUCAUAGUGAUCCGGUGGUUCUGAAUGGAAGGGCCAUCGCUCAACGGAUAAAAGGUACUCCGGGGAUAACAGGCUGAUACCGCCCAAGAGUUCAUAUCGACGGCGGUGUUUGGCACCUCGAUGUCGGCUCAUCACAUCCUGGGGCUGAAGUAGGUCCCAAGGGUAUGGCUGUUCGCCAUUUAAAGUGGUACGCGAGCUGGGUUUAGAACGUCGUGAGACAGUUCGGUCCCUAUCUGCCGUGGGCGCUGGAGAACUGAGGGGGGCUGCUCCUAGUACGAGAGGACCGGAGUGGACGCAUCACUGGUGUUCGGGUUGUCAUGCCAAUGGCACUGCCCGGUAGCUAAAUGCGGAAGAGAUAAGUGCUGAAAGCAUCUAAGCACGAAACUUGCCCCGAGAUGAGUUCUCCCUGACCCUUUAAGGGUCCUGAAGGAACGUUGAAGACGACGACGUUGAUAGGCCGGGUGUGUAAGCGCAGCGAUGCGUUGAGCUAACCGGUACUAAUGAACCGUGAGGCUUAACCUU
rnacentral:rRNA from 1 species